GUUCGUUUGGCCGGCUUGCAAAAAUGAACUCUCCUGAGUGGACUUAUGCUUUAAUUGGUUCUAUAGGCUCUGUCAUCUGUGGUUCACUUAGUGCUUUCUUUGCAUACGUCUUGAGUGCUGUUCUUAGCGUGUACUACAAUCCGGAUCAUGCUUACAUGAGCAAACAAAUUGCGAAAUACUGUUAUCUUUUGAUUGGAGUUUCAUCAGCUGCACUCAUUUUCAACACUCUACAGCAUUACUACUGGGAUGUAGUGGGGGAGAAUUUGACAAAACGGGUGAGAGAGAAAAUGCUGGCAGCUGUGCUUAAAAUGGAAAUGGCGUGGUUCGAUCAGGAAGAGAACGAUAGUUCAAGAAUUGCUGCUAGGCUCUCUCUGGAUGCCAACAAUGUUAGGUCAGCCAUCGGGGAUAGAAUCUCCGUCAUUAUGCAGAACUCAGCUCUCAUGCUAGUCGCGUGCACAGCAGGAUUCGUAUUGCAGUGGCGUCUGGCCCUUGUCCUCAUUGGGGUCUUCCCCGUGGUCGUUGCAGCAACAGUUUUACAGAAAAUGUUCAUGAAGGGAUUCUCAGGAGACUUAGAAGCUGCUCAUGCCAAAGCCACUCAACUUGCUGGAGAAGCUGUAGCUAAUGUAAGAACAGUUGCUGCCUUUAAUUCGGAGACGAAAAUAGUCAACCUUUUCGACGCAAGCCUCCAGACUCCGCUUAGGCGUUGCUUCUGGAAGGGACAGAUAGCGGGAAGUGGUUAUGGGAUUGCUCAAUUCUUGCUUUAUGCUUCCUAUGCCCUUGGCCUUUGGUAUGCCUCCUGGCUUGUCAAGCACGGGAUCUCUGACUUCUCGAAGACGAUCCGUGUCUUCAUGGUGCUCAUGGUUUCUGCUAAUGGUGCAGCCGAAACAUUGACCUUAGCCCCUGACUUCAUCAAGGGUGGCAGAGCAAUGCGUUCUGUUUUCGAACUCCUUGACCGUAAAACAGAAGUUGAGCCGGAUGAUCCAGAUGCUACCGCUGCCCCUGAUCGUCUUCGUGGUGAAGUGGAAUUUAAGCAUGUAGACUUCUCAUAUCCCACUAGACCCGACGUGUCAAUUUUCCGUGAUUUGAAUCUUCGUGCUCGAGCUGGAAAGACUCUUGCUCUUGUUGGACCAAGUGGAUGUGGAAAGAGCUCAGUCAUUGCACUUAUAGAGAGGUUCUACGAGCCAUCAUCCGGACGUGUCAUCAUCGAUGGCAAGGAUAUUCGUAAGUACAACCUUAAAUCCUUGAGAAGACACAUUGCUGUAGUGCCACAAGAACCUUGCCUCUUUGCUACCACCAUCUAUGAAAACAUCGCGUAUGGACACGAGUCAGCAACCGAAGCUGAGAUAACCGAAGCAGCAACCUUGGCAAACGCCCACAAGUUCAUAUCUGCAUUGCCUGAUGGAUACAAAACAUUCGUCGGAGAAAGGGGAGUUCAAUUGUCCGGUGGACAAAAGCAAAGAAUCGCCAUUGCUCGUGCUUUCCUAAGGAAAGCUGAGCUAAUGCUGCUAGACGAAGCAACAAGUGCACUCGAUGCAGAGUCCGAAAGAUGUGUACAAGAAGCAUUGGAUCGCGCUUGUGCAGGUAAGACCACUAUUGUUGUUGCACAUAGGCUAUCUACAAUCAGAAAUGCACAUGUGAUCGCGGUCAUAGACGAUGGGAAAGUAGCAGAACAAGGUUCUCAUUCUCAUCUGCUGAAAAACUACUCAGAUGGUAUUUAUGCGCGUAUGAUACAACUACAACGAUUUACACAUGGAGAAGCUGUGAAUAUGGCAA
rnacentral:misc_RNA from 1 species